GCAUGGCUGAAUUCUGUUUUGCUCUUGACAUGGUAAACACAGUCAGACACCAUGCUACAUGAUUGCUUUCACACACUGACUCAGCAGGAUGAGCGUGCUUAUUAUGUGCCUCAUACUUAUGUCAGAGUGAAUACAGCG
rnacentral:snoRNA from 1 species